AGAGUUUGAUCAUGGCUCAGGACGAACGCUGGCGGCGUGCUUAACACAUGCAAGUGGAGCGACGAACCAGGCUUCGGCCUGGGGCAGAGCCGCGAACGGGUGAGUAACACGUGGGUAACGUGCCCCGAUGACUGGGACAACCCGGGGAAACCCGGGCUAAUACCGGAUAUGCCCCCUCACGCGAGUGAGGUGUGUAAAGGAAGCUUCGGCCUCCGCAUCGGGAUCGGCCCGCGGCCCAUUAGCUUGUUGGUGAGGUAACGGCUCACCAAGGCUUCGAUGGGUAGCUGGUCUGAGAGGACGAUCAGCCACACUGGGACUGAGACACGGCCCAGACUCCUACGGGAGGCAGCAGUGGGGAAUCUUGCGCAAUGCGCGAAAGCGUGACGCAGCAACGCCGCGUGGGGGAAGAAGGCCUUCGGGUUGUAAACCCCUUUCAGUUGGGACGAAGGUCGGGCGGUUAAUAGCCGUUCCGUCUGACGGUACCUUCACAAGAAGCCCCGGCUAACUACGUGCCAGCAGCCGCGGUAAUACGUAGAGGGGCAAGCGUUGUCCGGAAUCAUUGGGCGUAAAGAGCGUGUACGGCGGCCCGGUAAGUCCGC
rnacentral:rRNA from 1 species